AGACAGACUAUGAAGAGAUACAUAGGGUGAGAAACGGAGGCCUUCAGCCAACAGCUGGGAGAAGCUGAGUCCCAUCAGCCAUUCAAAAGACUGCAGCCCCAGCCAAGAGUUUGAUGUAACCUCAGGAGAGACCCUGAGCCAGAACCACCUAGAAAUCUCCAAGUGAGAAGACCUUACUUGUCUUCUGAAAGUCUGGCCAACGAGCUAUACCUAGUGAUUCCAAAGUCCACAUAUAUUUACUCUGUUCUCACUGUACAAAGUAACCACUCUGAAGUCAAAAAAGCUGGGAUACAUGAAGACUGCCAUCCCUUGAGUCACUUGCCCUGUAGCUGCCACUGUUGGAAAAGGGCUUGCUUCUGUGUCCUUGUGCCCACUUUGAAAAUCCCUGGGAAGUCCUUGGAGUCAGAUGAGCAGGCCUCCGCCACUCUGCCAAAAAGUCUGUUCAACGUGCCUGCGUCACCUUCAGCCAUGAUAAUAAGUUUCCUGAGGCCUCCCCAGCCAUGCAGAACUCAGGAAGUUUCACAUCACUAGAGAAGAGAGAAGAAGGACAUUUGUACUGGGAGGAGUCGACCGGUCCCAGUAAGGAGAAAGUAGCUACAGCGUCAUGGGUGAGCUGGGUCCCCCAAAAAGGAACUUUAAGGGAAUGGACUGAAUCAAGUCUGAGAUGUCCCCAAAGCAAGACCAAAGAACUGAGGAAGAGAAGCAUUCAUCAGAAACCAAAAUUCAGCUACAAGUGAGCAUCCAGAUGGAGGUAUUAUGAAGAGGAACUGAGACUGAGGGCAAAAGGUGCCAGCCAGAAUCCUGGAUAGGAGAGCAAGAACCAGGACCUCAUUUAAGAGACAACCUGCUUAAGGCAGAGUAAGGUGAGAUUGGAUUCACGCAAAGACCUGGAAUUCAAGUAGGUUAAUGAACAGACAGUGUGUGCCUAUACCACGAAUUUACAAUAAUAAUAAGGGUGCUAAUAAUCACA
ensembl:lncRNA novel transcript